AGGUUGUAACAAGGUAACCGUAGGUGAACCUGCGGUUGGAUCAUUAACAAAUGUUUGGUCUCGUGCCAUAGUCACACCUGUGUGCACCAUUGUCUGUAUUUGGAUCCGGUCGGGUUGGGCUACCGCCAUUUUUAUGAACCAAGACAUCUGUCUUUUUCUGCCUGAACGAAGAGUCACUCUUUGGUGAUUAAUGAUUUGAAAACAACUUUUGACAACGGAUCUCUUCGCUCUC
rnacentral:misc_RNA from 1 species